AAGCACUACAAACUACGUGCCAGCAGUCGCGGUAAUACGUAGGGUGCAAGCGUUAUCCGGAUUUACUGGGCGUAAAGUGUCGUGUAGGCGGUUUACCGCAUCGUAUCUGAAAGCCCGAGGCUUAACCUCGGCGUUGGAUACGAGAUGGGUAUGACUUAUGAGGAUUGGAGAGGAAAGGGGAACUCAUGGUGAAGCAGUGAAAUGCGUUGAUAUCAUGAGGAACACCAAAGGCGAAGGCACCUUUCUGGCCAAUACCUGACGCUGAGACACGAAAGCUAGGGGAGCGAAGCAGAUUAGAGACCUGCGUAGUCCUAGCCCUAAACGCAUGUCUGCUAGUUACUCUGCGCAAGUGGAGCGACGUAAGCUAACGCGUUAAGCAGACCGCCUGGGGACUACGAGCGCAAGCUUAAAACUCAAAGGAAUUGACGGGGACCCGCACAACCAGUGGAGCAUGUGGUUUAAUUCGACGGUAAGCGAGGAACCUUACCAGGGUUUGACAUGUAGCUGCAAGCGCACGGAAACGUGUGAUCUUCGAGAGUGCUACACAGGUACUGCACGGUUGUCGUCAGCUCGUGUCGUGAGAUGUUCCCUUAAGUGGGAGAACGAGCGCAACCCCCGUAGUAUGUUGAUUUUCAUACUAGACUGCCGGCGUUUAAGCUGGAGGAAGGUGGGGAUGACGUCAAGUCAUCAUGGCCCUUACGGCCAGGGCUACACACGUGCUACAAUGGGGCGUACAGAGGGCUGCAAUACCGCGAGGUGGAGCCAAUCCCUUAAAGCGUCUCUCAGUUCGGAUUGUUCUCUGCAACUCGAGAACAUGAAGCUGGAAUCACUAGUAAUCGUAGAUCAGCUAUGCUACGGUGAAUACGUUCCCGGGUCUUGUACUCACCGCCCGUCACACCAUGGGAGUUGAUUUCACCCGAAAUCGGGAUGCCAAACUGGCUACCGCUUACGGUGGAAUUAGCGACUGGGGUGAAGUCGUAACAAGGUAACC
rnacentral:rRNA from 1 species